rnacentral:lncRNA from 1 species
UUUUGUUUAUAUGGUUAGACAAUAAACAAUUUUAUGAAUUAUUCUACUAUAUUUUCUAGUUUUGGUACUUGGAAUUUUGGAGGACAAUGAUUUUCACUUUCCAUUAUAUUAUUUACUUUGGAUAUUUUAAUUUACACUUAUAAUUUUAUUAUAUUUUAUGUGUUUUUUAUUAUUUUAUACAUGUAUCAUUGAACGUAUCGUAUCUUAUAUUUUAAGAAAAAAUGUGCAUCGACAUAUUAAAUAUAUAUCAUGUCUGACACAUGUAUCCGUAUUUGUGAUUCAUAGCUGUAUAUAUAUCAUAUUCUAAAUAUUAUUUAGUGAAGUCCAAAAGUAAAGUUACCAGAAAUUCCUUAGUUUUUAUGUGCCAGAAAAGGGAUGGGAACAUGAGAAGGCAAAUAUAUCCUUUUUAGUUAAUUAAGAAACACUUAAAGAAAGGAACAAGUGUAACUAACCAGGUGAGCCAUGAUAGGUCACCAAAAGUAAGACGGAACUACCUAGAUUGAAGAAAGUGGAUGAAGAUUUGCUUUCGUCAACUUUGUUCCCAAUCAUAUCCAUAACUAAUCACAAUAAAAUAAAAUUGAUAAAGUUCUGAAUAUUUAAUUUUUUUAGCCGAUUUCUUUAUUCCUCUAGAAAUGUAGAUUAUUUAUGGUGUCCAAUGAUUUACAAAAAAGAAUAUAAAAAUACUAUAUUAACAACUAAUUAUAGUAAUAUACAGUACUGCUCCAUUAAAAUAUUUUAUUUUUACACAAGUACUUCAAAAAAAUUAAUACAAGAGUAAUUCACGGCAAACAAAAAAAAAAACAGAUACGAUUCACUGUAAUAUUCAUCUAACGUAAGCGUAGCAAUUUAUACACAUUUAAUAUAUUAUUAUACUGAUGAGUAAACAUGAAAAGUUAUAGAGUAAAAAUAUAUAAAACUCGUACAUUAUUGCUAUAUACAUUUUUUCUCGUAAAAGAUGUGGGACCCACUAUAAGCAACCCAGUGUGAUAAUAUGUCUUGUCAUUUGGCAAGAUCUGAUUUUCCACCUCUGCCAAGCCAGGAGAGAGAAACAUUUAUCAGAAAUGAAAAAGGUCUUGUUUGGUGCAACUCUGAUCUUCAAGUUUUAAUCUUUUUCUUCACUCAAAUUUUGGGUCAGAACCAGAAAUUUGAGAUCUCUCACUUGUUUUGAGUUCAGGUACUCCUAUUUUCCCAUCUUCAUUGCCAUUGCUCUUUUAUGUUUAUUCAUACAUUUCUGUGUAGCCUAGUCUGACUAAUUUAGCCAGAUAAAUCUGAAUUCCAUGGAAGAUGCCAAAGGGGAGAUAAUUUACUAGUUUUAUUGUUUUGAUUUAAUGUUAUUUAGAUGAAAAUGAUAAUUAUUUAUAAUUUUAUAUGCCUCUUUGUUUGGUUUCUAGAACAUAAUUUACUUUCAUUUAUGUGGUGUUUUUCCAUAUAGAAUUAAUGCAAAAUUCUGAAGAGAGCUAGGAAUUUGAAUUGUUUGUUAACUUCAAACUUCACCCUCAAAUCUAUAUUAUGUUCAUGAUGCAUUUCAAUUGCAGAAGCUUAUUGUUCUUUUCCAUUUCCAGAAAAGCAAAAUUUAUGGGCAAAAUAGGUCGAUUUGUCCUCUAUAUUUCUAUUUUUGUUUUCAACUUGAUCCUACUUUUGAGUUGUUUUUCGUUAGUCGCUUAGUCUCACCCUUAGUUUUGUAGCUUAAGAUUCAUUUUUAAUGGUAUAGUGUUAGUGUCAAACAAAUUGUAUAGGGGUUUUCGUAACUUUUUCGUUCCGAAUUCAAAAUCAUGAAUUUAAUGGUUGAGAGUUGUUUAUCAAAUGUGCUAGUACUAUGGCAUUUGAUAAUAUCAGCACAUGCCAUUGGAUAUCCUAUUCAAAAAUAAGUUAUAUUGGAUUAUGAGGUUUGAGAUCUUCAAAAUUUCCAUCUUUUUUUGUAUGAAGGGUCAAAUUGAGGAAUGCCAAGAAAAUGGUGAGGAAGGGAAAUUGGUUUUCUAGUGUGAAGAAAGCUCUAAGCCCUGACUCAAAGGAGAAGAAAGAUCAGGUUUGGAUGAUAUUUAUAUUAAAGCCAUCUUAAUUUUUUUGGAAUGUUUCUUAAUUGUUAUAGUUUUACUGAUUGCUUUUGCAGAAAUCAAGUAAAUCUAGGAAGAGAUGGUUUGGGAAGCAAAAAUUGGAGACUUUAGGAUCAUUCUCGGGAACUGAUAAUGCAUUGUCGCUUCCUCCACCUGAAGAGAUUAAAUUGACUAAUCAUGAAAAUGAAAACAUUCAUGAUAAUGUUGUUGAAGUUGCAACAACCAUGGUUGCUGAGGAACCUGUUCCAGUUCCAGUUCCUGUUGUUCAAACAGUUGCUAGAGUGGAACCAUUGACUGAAAAAACAGUUGCUAAUGUUGAAGGUGUUAAAAUUGCUUGGUUUGCCGGUAAACCAAAGGAUGAGGUGGCAGCACUCAAGAUUCAAACAGCUUUUCGGGGAUACUUGGUAUUGUUGCAAUUUUGAUUUGAACCAAUAUAACUUACUUUGUUCAUUGUUCUUCAUUUCCUUCCUCCCCCUUUUCACAAUUCAUUUAACCCAACUUUCAAUGAGAGACAUUUUUGUUAAAAAAAAGUCUACACAAAACUCUGUUGUAUUUAUUUCUAUUAAAAAUAAGAUGCUACAACUAAUUCUAAAAUCCGAUCACGCUUAUCAGAUUUACUAACUGAGCCAUUAACUUGUGGAUGCUUUGUGAUUAAAUGCCAUGAAUAUCCUUAACGAACACCUUUAUUUAGUGCAACUCCACUAUCAAUCUAUAUGGUUGGGAGCCAAGAUGAACCUUCAAUUCAACUCCACUAAAUGAUUGUAUUAUUGUUCUUUAAAUAAUACAUAAGGCUCAAUAAGGUAGGGUUGAAAUUUGUCUGCAAAAUGUUUAUGAACUAACAAUUCAUUUAACAAAUGUAUUAGGUCUAACAUCAUUUUGCAUAUAAGGGGGUUUGCAUAUAAAAAAGUUAAUAUGAAAAUCUAAACUCUGUAAAUUCUAAUCAUAUAAAAAAGUUAGGCUAUCUUUAACGAAUGAACUCUUCAUUGCAUAGAGUUAUGAAUUAUGCGGCUAUCAGUGGUAAUUAAUAACUGCGCCAAAUUUUUUAGUUAUAGGAAUAACUUUCAAUCUAAACUUUCUUUGGAAAUCAUUUAGGCAAGAAGAGCGUUGCGGGCUUUAAGAGGGCUGGUGAGGUUGAAAUCAUUGAUGGAAGGGGCCAUUGUAAAACGCCAAGCCACAAGUACCCUCCGCUCUAUGCAGACAUUAGCACGCAUGCAAUCUCAGAUUCAUUUUAGGAGGAUCAGAAUGUUAGAGGAGAAUCAAGCUCUGCAGAGACAGCUCUUACAGAAGCAUGCAAAAGAGCUUGAGAGUAUUCGGGUAAUUGACAUUGAGCCCUAUGUUUAUUUGAAUUUUUUGACAGAGGUUGUGUUUCGAUUUUUUAAUUUGUUUCAAAUUGUCAUGAUAGAUUGGAGAAGAAUGGGAUGACAGCCUACAAUCAAAAGAACAAAUUGAAGCCAAGUUACUAAGCAAAUACGAUGCUGCUAUGAGAAGAGAAAGAGCACUGGCUUAUUCAUUCACUCAUCAGGUUUUCUAUUUCUCUUAUCAAGUUACAUGAUAGGAAAUUGAUGAAAUUUCGUAUAUGAAAUGGAAAGUCGGAUUAGUCUUUGUUAGGGUACAAAGCAUACACAUAUAUCACAUGGUAUCAUGAAGUUAGUACUAAAAUGAGAACCCAAACAUGUGUGUUAUGUUGUUAUUAUACCAACUUAAUUUGUUGUUUCCAUAUCUCUUGAAACUGUUCCUCUCAAAUUAAACUUAGGCUUGAUCAAUGCAUGAAUCCUUUUCUGUCUUUUAGCUAUAUUCAGAGCUAUAACCUCUGCUUAAACCUUUGCAGCCUCUCAUCUUCCACCACCACUUGUAUAUGUGUGUGUGCAUAGUCCAAUAUAUGCUUGGUCAAAUUAAAGCAUAACUUCUUCAAUUGUUUAUCAAUGGCACUCUUUAAUUACCUCAAAUAAAAUGCAAUAUUAUAUAAUGUGCCUAUUUUAUUUUGAAUGAGUAGCAUAGUCUUCCAAUGAUUUAAGUUACAGCCUUCUUUUUUGAACAAAUUGAGUUCAAAGUUUGAUCUUUGUAAAAGUACUUAUUUGACAGAAAAAUGGGAAGACUACAUGUAGAUCUAUAAAUCCAAUGUUCAUGGAUCCAACCAAUCCUAGCUGGGGUUGGAGCUGGUUGGAACGAUGGACAGCAGCCCGGACUUGGGAGGACCGUAGCCAGAUGGAUAAAGACCUGAAUCACCGCUCGUCUAUUAGAAGCUCAAUCCGCAGCAUCACCGGUGCGGAGAUCAGCAAAUCAUUUGCGCGUUUCCAGCUCAAUUCUGAAAAGCAUUCUCCAACAGCCUGCCAAAAGCCUGUCUCGCCUAACUUUCAGUCCCAUCCAACUCCUUCCAAACCACCUUCUCCAUCAGUUGCUAUGAAACUGAAGAAGGCGAGCCCAAAAGGAAGUUCGGUCGUGGAUGACGACUCCAAAAGCAUGGUCAGUGUACAGUCAGGCCAGUUCCGGAGGCACUCCAUUGCUAGUUCGUCAGUGAGAGAUGAUGAUAGCCUUGCUAGCUUUCCGUCCGUUCCAAGUUACAUGGUGCCAACUCAAUCUGUAAGAGCUAAGUCCAGGACACAAAGUCCAUUAGCCACCGAAAAAGGGUCCUUUAGGACUGCAAAGAAACGUCUUUCUUACCCGGCUUCACCUGCCAGACCAAGGAGACAUUCAGGUCUACCAAAUGUAGAAAGAAGCUUAAAUGAAGAAUUCACUGUGGCCAAUUGACUAUAGUAAACAAUCAAUUUAGUCCAAUGAUAUUAAUGUCACCAGUUAGGUUCUUGAAAUUUUCGUGUCACCAAUCAAGUUCUUGAAAGAUGUAUUUGGUUACUUAAGUCCGUAGAAGAUCAAUGUGACGAUGUUUUAAAUCUUUGAAGGACUUGGUUGGUGACAAAAAACUUUCAAGCACCAAAUCAGUGACACUAUUAUAUUUUGAGGGCUUAAUUAAAGGUUUACUAGUUGAUUAUAUAAUCAGAAUAAAAGGAUGGAAAGCAAUGAAGUAGGACGGGAAAUAUAUCACAGAAGAAAUAUAACAAAAGUAAUACAAAUCAAUGAUGAAUGAUGUGCUGACAGUGUAAAACAUUUUACAUCGUGAGUGCACAGAUUUUAAACUCUAUAUAUUAUACGACAGAAGAACAAGUCAACUGCCAGAAUCAUUGAGGACAAAUUUCAUUCUGUUAAGGUUCUUGUUUCAUGAUUGUGAUACAAAUGUAAAUUUAACUUUGUUGUCUCAUUGCUUUGAUGCUACUAUGUUUUCUUCUAAAAAUUGAAAUUAUAGAAAGCUUCCAUGUUGGAUACACAUUUACCUAUGCUGCCCAUUUUGUGUUAUUUUAAAAGUAACCCUACAAAUGUUUAUUUUUGCAAAUUACUCCUUUUGUAUAAUAAUUUAAUCCUAUCAUAUUCAAAUAUUCGAUUUUAGAGUAGAUUCGUAUCUAAAUGCUCAUUUUCAUUUUUCUAGUUUUGAUUAUUUUUACUCCUAUUAUUUCAUGUGCAUAAAGCUUGAGUACCCUGAAAUAUAUGAUUAAUAUAUCACCAAAUCACCCUAAUGUUAAUCUUUGAAAUUGGUUAAAGGUUGUUAUAUUAUACACUUGUCUAUUUCUGUUAAAACUGAUGCAGAUUAUUUGGUUAGUUACUCAGUUAGUUGAUUAUUUGGUACCCUUUAUAGUUAGUUGUUAAGGCUAUGCUAUUGAAAUUUUAUGAGUGUUUGAGACUGUAACUUACAUUGUCCUCAGAACAAUUCGGAUGCUGCAAAUUUAGAUUAGACUAAAUACCUAUUUUAUUCUCUUAUUUUUCUACCUUAUUAGUUUAUUCAUUCAAAACAAGAAAGUAUCUAAAAUAGUCCUAAAAAAUUUAAAUAUAGGUCAAAUUUGUCAUUUUAGUAUAUUUUACAACACUUUGUAUAAACUAAUUUGAUUAAAAAAGACUAAUAUAUCUCACAUUUAAAAUUUUUGGGACCAUUUUAACUCUUUUUUGUAGGACCAAGUUGGUAAGGUAAAAAAUAUUAUGGACUAAAAUGAUUUUUUUAUGUUUUAAAUUUAACAAUUUUUUUUAAAAGAAAAUUCAUAAGGCCAGCCUAAAUUUAAUUCUAGAUUAUUAUAUAUUAUAUAUAAAUAUAUUAAUUCUAGAUUAUUCUCCUUCUCAACGGUGCCAUGUCUUCUUAAUGCUUCCAUUUUUCUUCUCUCUCAAGAACUAACAUCCAAGACUGGAUUCAAUCUAGACCCUGAAUUUUCUCCUCUUUAGAACCCUAAAUUUCUCAUCUUUCUUCCCUUUUGGAUUUCCUUUUUAUCCACCAUGAGUUGCUACAGAAGAGGAAAGAUCACUUUUGCUGCUUUUCGCAGCUUGGCUUCAAGAGUUUCGCCAAAAAAUCCAAUCUUGCAAUCUGGGUAUUCGAAUUCGUGUUCAAAAGGUGCUACCAUUAAUGGGUCCUCUUCGUUUUCUUCAAUUUCUCAUAGACUAGUCACACGUGUUCCUGAAGUUAACAGGAACGUACACAACCCGUUUGUUGUUGGGUCUAAGAGAUCUUAUUAUGUGGAUCCUCGCAAUGUUCAGCACUUUAGGCCACGUGGGCCAAAGGGUUGGUUUCAGAAUCCAAGACAUGUUUUCAUUGCUGUAGUAGUUGGUUCAGGUGUUUUGAUUACUGUGUAUUUUGGGAAUUUGGAAACGGUUCCUUAUACAAAAAGAAAUCAUUUGAUUCUAUUGUCUAGAGCCAUGGAGAUGAAGCUUGGUGAGAGCCAAUUUGAGCAAAUGAAGGCAGGUUUCAAGGGUAAGAUAUUGCCUGCUAUACACCCUGAGAGUGUUAGGGUGAGGAUGAUCGCGCAGGACAUCAUCGAUGCGUUGCAGAGAGGGUUGAGGAAGGACAUGGUGUGGAGUGAUAUGGGGUAUGCAUCAGAGCAUGCCAUGGUGAGUGAAGGAGAUGAUGGGAGUGAAGUGCUGAGUGCAUUGGCUGCUGGGAGUGAAGGGAAGGUUGAAGGGAAUUGGAGCCGCGGGGAUGAGAUCCUCGACGAUAGAUGGGUUCAUCAGAGCAGGAGAAAGGGCCAGGAGAAAGGAUCACAGCCUCAUACUUCUCAUUUGGAUGGAUUGAAUUGGGAGGUGUUGGUAGUGAAUGAGCCUGUUGUCAAUGCUUUUUGCUUACCUGGUGGGAAGAUAGUUGUGUUUACCGGUUUGCUAGAGCAUUUUAAAAGUGAUGUAGAGAUAGCAACUAUUAUUGGACAUGAGGUAUAUAAGUAUAUUAAGUAUAUUAUUUGCAGGUUAAUAUGUGUAGGACACCUACAGCUUAUUGGUUUACAAUUCGCGGCGUGAAUGAUAUGCAGAAAUAUCUGUUUACAUGUGUUUUCAUGUUAAUUAGGUUGGGCAUGCUGUGGCGCGACACAGUGCGGAAGGGAUCACAAAGAAUCUGUGGUUUGCUAUUCUACAAUUGGUACUUUAUCAAUUUGUCACUCCUGAUAUAGUCAACACAAUGUCAGCCCUUUUCUUAAGGCUACCUUUCUCCCGCCGGUAUGAAUCAUCCAUUUGCUCUACCUCUAACCUACUGAGUUCCUGCAUGGUUCUUUAAUUGUAGUAGACUCAUUUCAUGUGAGCUUAUUGAACUGCAAUUUAAAGCUGGUAUCUGCAAUUUACAUUUCUGGUUAAAUCAUUGAACAUGCAUCUAGUGCACUUCCUGUAUAUCAUGAUGAAUUAUGUAACAAUUCAAAUGGACUUACUUUAGAUAGGAUUGAAAGCAUUCUGUAGUGCCAAUCCAAGUUGACUUACUUUACAUAUAAGUGAUGAAUUGGGUAGCAAUUCAAGUUGACUUGCUUUACAUAUAAUUCAUAAGUUCAACAAUGAAUGUAUUAGAGGGAAAGUAAGAGCAACACUUGUUUAGGUUGGGACAUGUGAGAAGACGGCCAAUAGAAACCCCAAUUAGAAAAGUUGUUAAGAUAGAGGGUAGCCCCAUAAUGAGAGUCAGAUGAAGACCAAGAAAAAUACCAAGUAAAACCUGGAGGAUGCUCAGGGAGGAUUUGGACCUAAAUGGCCAGUCAUGUAUAUUCUUAGGUUUGUUCACGCUGCCUGGGCUUCCUUUAAGCUUCAUGAUCUGAAACCAGACUUUUUGUGGAUGCAUUGAUAUCAAAUUUUUAACAUUCUAUUGUGACUAUCUGGUCAAAAUUUAGCCUUGCUUUUUUCAUUCAUUCUGAGUUGCACUUUCCUUAAGGCAUGAGCUUAAAAUACUGUGUGGUAUCUGCUCUGGUCUUUCCUUUCUGCCAACCAAUGUUGUUUUUUCAUUGAAUUUAUACUUGUAUGAUUUUCAAGUUGCUUGUGAUUGUUAAGGGGUAUUUAGACGAGCUUAUAUAGAGCUUAUGAAAAUAACCUAUGGCCCUACUAUAAACUCUUUUUAGCUUAGUUCAAUAAGGUUGAGAAAAACUUAUAAAAUAUACUCAUUCUAGCGUAUUUCGACAAUGUUUUUGAAUAAGCACUUAAUUAAGUUGCUUACCCGAACACACUCUUAUUCUUACUAGAUUUUUAUGUUGAAAUGGAAUAGUAUUGAAUUAUGGCAUUGUUCGGAUCCAUGUGGCUGACCCCACCUAGUGGAUUAAGGUUUGGUUGUUGUUGUGGUAUACUCAUGCAUUAUAUAUACCUUUUGUGAUGCAAUGUUUGAUUAUAGAGGGAUAAAGUGUUAACCAUUCAUAACUUCACCCUAUUUAUGCACAAUUUGCAGGAUGGAAAUGGAAGCUGACUACAUUGGGCUGCUACUAAUUGCAUCAGCUGGAUAUGAUCCAAGGGUGGCACCAAAAGUGUAUGAGAAGUUAGGCAAAGUCACUGGCGGCGACUCCUCGGCACAAGAUUAUCUCUCAACUCAUCCUUCUGGAAGAAAGAGAGCAGAGUUACUGGCUCAGGCCAAGAUCAUGGAAGAAGCACUUACUUUAUAUAGGGAUGUAAGAUCAGGACGUGGGGUUGAAGGAUUUCUUUAAGACACCACCAACACUAACCACAAAGAGCCUCUUUCAUAGGAUUGUGUUCUUUUAUAAAGAAAAAUAAUUGUCUAUAUUUGCAAUCACAAUAUAUAAGAAGUGAUAGUACAAAAAGUUUAUAUGUACAAUAUAUCAUAUGAUUUCUAGUGUAUAUUAGUUGUUUUCUUCAAUUACAUUUUUUGUUUUGCCUUCGAUCAUCUUCAUUAAUCUUUCCACAAACUUUUCUCUUCCACAAAAUGUGUCAUAGGGCUGUUUGAAAAGAAUGAAGUGAUGAAAAUAAAACGUAAUUUUAAGUUUUAACCAUUAAUUCGGACAUAAGAAGAAGAAAAAAGCAUGUAGAAUGAUUUUUUUAGUGAAUCCCAAUUUAUCAAUAUCCUAAAGUAAUUUUAGAUAUCUAUUAAUCCAAGUUGAGUUGAAAAGAUUAUUAAUAAACAGAGUAUAACAUAUAAAGAUUUAUAUAUACUUAAUAUAUUAUUUAUCAUUCAUUUCUAUUACUUUCUUUUAAAUAGUAAAUGAUGAUUAAACAUGAAUGAUAGUUGAUGCAAUGAUAGUAUAUAAAAUGUAUACAUUGUAGGUAUAUAUUUUUUCAACACAUAUGAAUAUAGUAGUUUAAUGCAUUAAUAAAUAAAUGUGUAAAAAUGAAAGAUUGUAGUCUAACCCAUUCUUUCAUUGUACCACACUCAAGGCCCAGUGAGCUUGAAUAUUUAGUUAUGCACUGAGACUGGCCCAUUAAUCUUAUCUUUAUAUUAACACACAACACAACAAUUCAAUUUCACUAGGGUUAGGGUUUUACAUUGCGGCUACUGCAUCUUCUUCAUCAAUCUCCUCCAAGACCAUCUAACUACACUACACCAUGGGGUAAUGCAAAUUUACUCUUACAUCGUCCAAAUUAUCUUGUUAAAUUUUUAAGUCAACUUACAAUGUUAUAUCAAUCUCUGUUAAUUGCUAUGUUUUUCCGAACUCUGAGCUCAAAUUUGUUCCUUUUAUUGUUCGUGGUUAUCUAUUGUCGGAAAAUUUCAUAUUUGUGAUUGGAUAGAAAGAUGAAGUUGGCAAAUCUGGUAAUUAUUUGGUUGUGUUGUUGAAUUUAAUAUUGCCUUGGGUUUAUUUGUAUCAGUUCAUAGUCUCUGAUUGCUCAUUCACCUUAAAAAAUGUAUUUUUCUCGCAUACUUGUUUGUUACAAUCGCCGAAAUGCGGUAUGUAAUAUGUCUGUUGUAUUUGAAUUUGGAGUGAAUUUGUAUUAACCAAUUUAUUAAGUGUUUACUAACUAGCUCAAUAAGCUAAAAAAGCUGAUUUUCAUAAGCUUCUAUGAGAACCUUUUACUGGAAUAAGCUAAAAAGAGCUUAUAAAAUGUCAUAAGAUAUUUUCAUAAGCUAUUUUUGUUAGUUAUUUUUGAUAUGCACAAAUAAGCACUCUUCCAAAGGCUUCCUUUCUUUGUUGAGUAGGGGCUACUAAUUUUUUAAUCUUACAUAUUAGCAUGAGAUGUAGGAAAUUAAGUCUUAUUAGUGUACCUGUUUUACAGAAAAACUCGUGGAAUGGGAGCUGCCCGCAAGCUGAAGUCCCACCGUAGGAGGCAAAGGUGGGCUGACAAGUCAUACAAGAAAUCCCAUCUUGGUAAUGAAUGGAAGAAGCCUUUUGCUGGUUCAUCCCAUGCAAAGGGUAUUGUUCUUGAAAAGAUGUAAGUUUUAUUUAACUUGCUAUUUAUACCAUGUUGAAUAUUUGCUCAAUUAUAGGUUUUGAUGUUAACAAAUUUGUAUGGUGUUCUAUGUGCCAGAGGUAUUGAGGCUAAGCAGCCCAACUCUGCUAUUCGUAAAUGUGCCAGGGUUCAACUCAUUAAAAAUGGAAAGAAGAUUGCUGCGUUUGUGCCAAAUGAUGGUUGCUUAAACUAUAUCGAAGAAAAUGUGAGUGAUAGUGAUUAUAUAGUCUUGUGCUGUAUUGCUUAUCCUAUUUACAAUGAUAAAUCUGUAAUUGUAUUAAGAUCCAUUAUGGGCAUAUUUGGAUGAAAAUUUGAAUUAACCAUUGAUUCAACAAGUUUUUUAGAAUUUGGUUAUAAGUGCUUAUUUUAAUAAACUUUGCUCAUGAGCUUAUUGAGAUAAGCUAAAAAGAGUUUAUUGUAACUCAUGAGCUAAUUUCAGAAGGUUAUGAAAAUAAAUUAAUUUCAUAAGCCUGAUUAAGAUUUUCCAAAUGCCUCCAUGUAGUCUUUCCUAUUAUGCUUACCCUCUUUGUCCUCUCAAAUCUGUUAGUAUAUUGAAUUCAAAUGUUUAAUAUCUGGUAAAUCUGAUGGUGUUGUAGGAUGAAGUCUUGAUUGCUGGAUUUGGACGUAAGGGUCAUGCCGUUGGUGAUAUUCCUGGAGUCAGAUUCAAGGUUGUGAAAGUUUCUGGUGUAUCUCUCCUGGCUCUUUUCAAGGAGAAGAAAGAGAAGCCAAGGUCUUAAAUUUUGGGAUAGUUCAACUCUCUUUUUUUGCAGCUUAUCUUAAGAACUAUAAUGAAUUUCGCUUCUUGAGACUGAAUGAGUUUUAUGGACAAAUUGAUAUCACUAAUAGCGAUUUUACUGAAUUUCAUUUGAUUUUUUUCUUAGCCUUAAUUUGUUUUGCAAUUACGGUUGGUGAUGAGAACCACAUGAAAUUCCACCACGAUUUAUUUUUUGGCAGCUCUUGUAGUCUAAGAAUGGUUAUAUACCCUUUACUCUAUUAUCCUGCUAUGUUAGCUUUAAUUUUUGUUGAGCAUAAUGUUGUGAAUUUCCCUUUUAAACACUAAAGGGGUCAUUAUCUAUGUUCUUCAAUUAAGUUAACUUAUGCCUUGAGACAAGAAAAAAUCCCUUGAUAAUGAAUGCAAAAAAUACAAGAUACCAAAAAAAAUACAAAACAAAAAUCCCUUGCGAAAUAAAUCUAGAAGACACAUCAAAAUGUAACUAGAGGAGCCAAAGAUUCCUCCUUUAGUUACACUUUUGGCACAUCACAAAAAACUAAAAUAAUAUGUAGUUCAUGCUUUUGACAUUGAUUGCCUUGUUAAAUUGAUCUUGUAAUGCAUGAUAUUAUUUUGGCGACAGUUUGGCCGGUAGAAAAUGUUUAAGAUAUUAUUGAUGCUGUGAUAUUGGAAGCUUUUAAUGCAACAAUCCAUUCCUUCACAGAAUGUAAGACUUUCAGCUCUUGCUGAAAAUAGAUUAUUUCUUCAAAAUGAUGCUUAUAGUCAUAGUUCAAGGUUUCUUGAUCAAUUUCAACCCAACAAUCUAUCAAUUUAGGAACAAUUGCAUCAUCAGCAGUUCAGCAGUAAUGUUUUCAUAUCAAGUAGUCUUCCUACUUGGCAUGAUGGCAAGAACUUUAGUGGCCUCCGUAUGUCACAAGUAUUGGAUAAUCAGAGAAUAUGGGAUUUAACAAUUUCAUGCCUGGUUAUGAGAAUAUCAAGUUUUGAGCACCUUCACCCACUGAUCUACCAGAAGAUUAUGGUGAUUUUAGUUAAACUACAAUGCAUUAAAAGAUGGUUCUCGGUGUAAUGAUAAAGUUGUUUGUCUUAUGACCUGAAUAUCAUGGGUUCAAAUCUCGGAAAUCAUUUGUUCACUUGCAAUUGACAUCUACCAUACCCAAAUCCCACCCUGGAUUCGUGUAUUGGGUCAUCAUUUUUUUUGUAGUGUAAUUAUUAAAUAUUUUUCUGGUCAAUCAUACUUCCUGAUACAUGGAGUGACACAAACUAAUAGGACACUAGAUUAUUUAACUUGCUAUUUAUACCAUGUUGAAUAUUUGCUCAAUUAUAGGUUUUGAUGUUAACAAAUUUGUAUGGUGUUCUAUGUGCCAGAGGUAUUGAGGCUAAGCAGCCCAACUCUGCUAUUCGUAAAUGUGCCAGGGUUCAACUCAUUAAAAAUGGAAAGAAGAUUGCUGCGUUUGUGCCAAAUGAUGGUUGCUUAAACUAUAUCGAAGAAAAUGUGAGUGAUAGUGAUUAUAUAGUCUUGUGCUGUAUUGCUUAUCCUAUUUACAAUGAUAAAUCUGUAAUUGUAUUAAGAUCCAUUAUGGGCAUAUUUGGAUGAAAAUUUGAAUUAACCAUUGAUUCAACAAGUUUUUUAGAAUUUGGUUAUAAGUGCUUAUUUUAAUAAACUUUGCUCAUGAGCUUAUUGAGAUAAGCUAAAAAGAGUUUAUUGUAACUCAUGAGCUAAUUUCAGAAGGUUAUGAAAAUAAAUUAAUUUCAUAAGCCUGAUUAAGAUUUUCCAAAUGCCUCCAUGUAGUCUUUCCUAUUAUGCUUACCCUCUUUGUCCUCUCAAAUCUGUUAGUAUAUUGAAUUCAAAUGUUUAAUAUCUGGUAAAUCUGAUGGUGUUGUAGGAUGAAGUCUUGAUUGCUGGAUUUGGACGUAAGGGUCAUGCCGUUGGUGAUAUUCCUGGAGUCAGAUUCAAGGUUGUGAAAGUUUCUGGUGUAUCUCUCCUGGCUCUUUUCAAGGAGAAGAAAGAGAAGCCAAGGUCUUAAAUUUUGGGAUAGUUCAACUCUCUUUUUUUGCAGCUUAUCUUAAGAACUAUAAUGAAUUUCGCUUCUUGAGACUGAAUGAGUUUUAUGGACAAAUUGAUAUCACUAAUAGCGAUUUUACUGAAUUUCAUUUGAUUUUUUUCUUAGCCUUAAUUUGUUUUGCAAUUACGGUUGGUGAUGAGAACCACAUGAAAUUCCACCACGAUUUAUUUUUUGGCAGCUCUUGUAGUCUAAGAAUGGUUAUAUACCCUUUACUCUAUUAUCCUGCUAUGUUAGCUUUAAUUUUUGUUGAGCAUAAUGUUGUGAAUUUCCCUUUUAAACACUAAAGGGGUCAUUAUCUAUGUUCUUCAAUUAAGUUAACUUAUGCCUUGAGACAAGAAAAAAUCCCUUGAUAAUGAAUGCAAAAAAUACAAGAUACCAAAAAAAAUACAAAACAAAAAUCCCUUGCGAAAUAAAUCUAGAAGACACAUCAAAAUGUAACUAGAGGAGCCAAAGAUUCCUCCUUUAGUUACACUUUUGGCACAUCACAAAAAACUAAAAUAAUAUGUAGUUCAUGCUUUUGACAUUGAUUGCCUUGUUAAAUUGAUCUUGUAAUGCAUGAUAUUAUUUUGGCGACAGUUUGGCCGGUAGAAAAUGUUUAAGAUAUUAUUGAUGCUGUGAUAUUGGAAGCUUUUAAUGCAACAAUCCAUUCCUUCACAGAAUGUAAGACUUUCAGCUCUUGCUGAAAAUAGAUUAUUUCUUCAAAAUGAUGCUUAUAGUCAUAGUUCAAGGUUUCUUGAUCAAUUUCAACCCAACAAUCUAUCAAUUUAGGAACAAUUGCAUCAUCAGCAGUUCAGCAGUAAUGUUUUCAUAUCAAGUAGUCUUCCUACUUGGCAUGAUGGCAAGAACUUUAGUGGCCUCCGUAUGUCACAAGUAUUGGAUAAUCAGAGAAUAUGGGAUUUAACAAUUUCAUGCCUGGUUAUGAGAAUAUCAAGUUUUGAGCACCUUCACCCACUGAUCUACCAGAAGAUUAUGGUGAUUUUAGUUAAACUACAAUGCAUUAAAAGAUGGUUCUCGGUGUAAUGAUAAAGUUGUUUGUCUUAUGACCUGAAUAUCAUGGGUUCAAAUCUCGGAAAUCAUUUGUUCACUUGCAAUUGACAUCUACCAUACCCAAAUCCCACCCUGGAUUCGUGUAUUGGGUCAUCAUUUUUUUUGUAGUGUAAUUAUUAAAUAUUUUUCUGGUCAAUCAUACUUCCUGAUACAUGGAGUGACACAAACUAAUAGGACACUAGAAUUGCUCCCCUCAAAUACCCUUCAUUGUAAGUAGCACUUCUAUAAAAAAAAAGAGUCAAGAUUCCUUGAAUUUGAUUUUGGUUUGGUAAGGCUGCUUUUUAGGAUUUGGGUACCCUUGAUUUCAUUGCAAGUUUUGCAACUUUGCAAUCAAAAUGGACAAUUGUAAAUGCCAACAGCCUUAGUUUCAAACCUGUAAAGCAUAUAAUCACGCAAAUCACCUUUUGGUUUCCUUCCUCAAAUUCAUGCCGGAUUAUAUCAAGAGAAUCUGUCUACAAUUUAUUAGUUGUCUUGCAUGGAUUUCAUCCGAUAAUAAGAAAUUUAUUGAAUCGAGUGGAUUAUAAAUCGGUAAAGCCAACAUGCUUACAUAAUAGAAGAAGAAAUACAAGUUAUUGAAUUCAUACACUAAUCGGAAAAGGAAAUAUUCCUACCAACAAUAACAGUAAACCAAUAUCAGGUCAUUAUCUUAAUCAAAUCUAACAAUGACAGCAUAUCACAAGUUUUGCCAUUAAAUAUUACUGAAUUGUGAAGAAGUCAUAUAGAUCCUAUCCAAAUUAUAGUCCUAUCUAUUGAGUGCCCUUCCCUUUAAAGAGCAUAGCAAACUCGGAGUAGAAAUCAUGUAAAGAUUCAAUCUCAAUAGGAUUAGCUUCUAAUCAUCGGUAAAUCUUUGUCCUAAGUCUACUAUUUAUAGGACAAGAGAUAAAUAAAUGUAAGUGAUUCUUCCUCUAUAAGACAAAGUGUACAAUCGUCAUUCAAUGACAUACCUCUAGCCAUAAGAUUCUUUUUUGUUGGUAAUCUAACCCAUAACAAUUCACCUUUACUUAAUCGACAAUGUGCUAAGUAGAUACUUCAUAUGAGUUAAAGAUAAUAUUUAUCAUUAUUGUUGCUAACCAUAAGAUACUUCAUACCAUCUUGUCUUUUUUCUUUGUUUGUGCAAUGUGAUCAAGUUGGUUAAUAGGGAAAUGAGAGCAAGAAUGUAGUAUGAAUUCCUCAGAAGGAGGGUUCUUUAGAUUUGUACAAAAUUUGAUACCGUUUGAUUAUGAAAAGUUAUGCUAAACAGUAAAAAUAAGGGAAACUCAACCAUCUUUGGUCUUAUGGUGGUUAGGAUUUAGGAUGAAGAAAUGGAUAAUGAUGGAUAUACUACAAUUUAAACAAUAAUUCUCUCAUUAAACCAGAACUUUUAUAGUUCCAUAUUGAGAACAGUGGAAUGCAAAUUUCAAGUGACAUAAAUUUAUAAUGACAUGGUAAAAAUAAAGUGUUGUUAAUGGAUCAAAUAGUAAGGAUCCUAGAGGCAAAUAAUACAAAAAAAACAAAUGAAACAAUAACAUGGUAAUACAUUUUUAUGCUUUUAUAUACAAUGAAAUAACAUUUUUAUCAUUGAAAAUACAUAUAAAAUCAAGUACUUAUCUCUCUAUGAGUGAGGAGGGUAGUUGUUCUAAUAAACAUGGUUCAGAAAGGGUGAACGACAUAGAGCAAUGUACAAUGAAUAUGCGCAGUGGGAACCACCUUUUUAUACGCUUAUGCUGUGUUUGGCAGCAUAGAAAUCCUGCUUCAUGAAGCCACAAAGUGACACUUGUGUACUCACGAGAUCUUACACAGUUGAUAGAUAACCGUGAUGAAAAUAACUUGAUUUUUUCAAUAUCUGAAGAGAUUACUUUUGUGAUGAUAUUUACAUGUUGAACAACAUUAAUCUCUGGCUUUAACUAUUAGGGUUUUAAAACUUUCUUAAGCUUCAUCAACAUUCAUACUAGUACUUGUUAAGAUUGAAUAAUAAUGAAUAUAUAGAAGAAAAUUAAAAGUGUAGAGUUAAAACCCCAUGGUUAUAUGUGUGAAUGAUUCUGAAGUUGAAGCGUGGAAGAUAAGUUGGUGGUGACAGUGCUGCUUCACUAAUAUUAGUGAUUCAGUAAUGUUGACAAUUCAACGGUCAUGUUUGUCUUGAAAAAGGGAUCAGAAGAGAAAGAAAAGAAAAGAGUGAUAGAUACUCAGCAAUAAAUAGAAAUAACAGUUCUUAAUGAUAUGACAUACACAUGCAGGGUUCAUUCAAAGAUCCAACAAUUCAACAACGUUAAUGCAAUGGACAUGACAGGAACCCCGUAACACUAUCUAUGUUCCUAACCCGUUCAAUGUCUUUUCUACAACCAUGCAUGCAUGUAAAUGAUGUAAUAUGUAUAUAAUAUACCUAAACCCUGCAAAGAAUCUAGGGCCUGUAAAUUAUCAUAAUCUUUAAAUAAUGGGACUUUUAUUCACUGUGCCUAGGGUUUACAACAAAAUAAGCAACUUAGAAUUACUAAGAAAAAAACUGUGUUUUAAAUUGUAGUUGCGAUUGAGCGGUGAUGAUUGUGGUUUCUGUGAUUGAGGUUAUUAUAGUCGUUAUGACGUGGAUUGCGAAUGUUGUAGUGUGAAUUAUUUUGUGAUUAAAAACUAUUUUUGAAUUCAAUGUGGCCUGAUGGGGUCCAAAUGCAGCCCGAUGCGGUUGUGUUGUGGCCAAUGUGGUUACAUUGUGGCCGAAUACGGUUACUUUAUAGCCUGUUUCAGCAGUAUCAUUGUGAUUCAGAAUCACGCUGUAAUUGCAAUGUGAUGUUGUGGUUGCGACAAUCACCGCAAUAAUACGGCCACAUCGCAUUUAAAUCACCGAUAUAAAAGCUAAAACAAAUAGUUGAACUUAGAGCUAUUAAACAUAAAUUGAGUUUCGAGGUGAAACAAUUCUUAUCGAUCUAAUCCUACACAUUCCACUUAAAUCAACUUAUUUCCACCUUAUUGAUAUCCUAUAGAUAUGAUAUCAUCAAAAAUUUACUCUAAUCCUUUCUCACUACCAAAUAACUGUGGAAUCUAAUUAGUGGGUGAUUAACAAAAUAAAAAUACAAUUGAUAUGGAUUGUAAAAAUAUAAUAGGUGUAACAAGAAUUGUUGAAUUGAAAAUUAUUGAAGUUUUGGUGAGACUUCUAAUAUAGAGUAGUUUUGGGUGAGACAAAUGUCUGUUUACUGCAUGCAUGCAUGCACAUCUUCUGAUUGUGAUUGUUGCGUGUAACUUGAUUAAUCAUCAUUCAAUGAACACCGGAACAUGAAUCCUCUGUCUUCAAAUAUUCAUUUCCCGAUAUUUCAAGCUAAUCAAAUCUCACCAGAUAAGAUAAAAAAAUAUUUUUUGUUUUUAUUAUUUUUCUUUCAAUAAGAUAUAGAAAAUGAGACAGGUAAUUUCUAUUUCAACCUCAGGCAAGGAGUGGAUCCUACUAUUCCACAACACUUUUUUGUUUCAUUAAACAUUAACACUAUGUUUUCUGAAAUUUGAUCAUUUUAAUCUAAUCAAUAGAGUACUUAAUUUGAUUUCUGAAAUUUAAUUAAUUAAUUUGUCACAUAAGAUAAGAGGAUGAUAAGAAGGAAAAUAAGUAUUAUUUCUGAAAUUUUGGUAUGAAAAUUAUGUAGAAGUGUUAAUGCAAUUAUUAUACAGGAGCUAAAGGAGGUGUUGGUAUCUAGUAAAGUUGAGAUAGUGAUGUGAAUGAACAAUUUGAUGAGGUUCAGGUUCAGAGUUGAUCAGUUAAUGUACUCAUUGUAAUGGUUCAGCUAAGUUACCAUAGGAUCAUAGGAUAGCAUAGAGCCCAACAAUGGGAAAAGACUUAAAGGACCCCAAAGUUGCAAAGAUAAUGAUGAGAGAGGAGAAAGAUAGGGUAAGAGUACGGAAAUGAGAGUUGAUGAGAGUGAGGUAGUGGCAGAAUAAUCAACUUUAUACUAUUCACAUGAUACAAGGUUGAGGGGUCCUCUCUUAUUUACGUUUUGGACUUAACUUGUAGGUAUACCAGUCCUAGUCACAGACUCUAACCUAAGCCUCUUCUUCAAAAAGCCAAGGAUUGCGGAUUGCCUUUAAUCCAACGAAAGAGACUUCACAUUCUUAACCCCCCAAUUCUACACGUGGUCUUUUUUUAUUUAUCAUGCAACAAUACAAAACUAAACCCUCAUCUUACUAUUAUUAUAUUAUUAUUAUCUCGUACCUUAGUAACAGUGCUAACCCUCUCUUCCUACUAAACCUUUUCGCAUCAGCAACACCUAAGAAUUUUGUUUUAAUUAAUAUAAUUAUAUUUUUAUGUUUUCUAUUGUGGAGAGAAAAUAUGAUAAUAGAUUAAGUUUGAUGGAUAAAUUUAGAAAAUUUUGCUAAAAAACCAUAAUUUCUUUAGUUUGGUAUGACACUUAUAUAAGAAUGAAGACACUAGAUCCUUGAUUUUUAUUACGAUUAAGCAUUUCUUAAUCAAAUUAACAGGAGUUUGACCUAAGUAAAAAUACUAAUCGGGAUAAAAGUACAUUAGAAUACAUGUCUUAUCUUCUCGGACAGUGUUCCGGAACUUUCCGACAGUGAUGCUUAAACACAAACACAUUACCAUGGAAUAUUGUUUGAAAAAUUACAUACUUGUAUAUUAAAGUGAUUUGAACGUUCUACCAACCACACAUCAAAUGUAGGGUAGGUAUCAUUAGAAAAGAAUAUGAUAUGACAAAUGCGCUUAUAAAACAUAGCAUUAAAAUAUGGGAAGCAAACUUAGUAUUUGCAUGAACCAUUCCGUACAAAGUACAAACACUGCUGUUGGCAAUUGCAGUAUAUAUNNNNNNNNNNNNNNNNNNNNNNNNNNNNNNNNNNNNNNNNNNNNNNNNNNNNNNNNNNNNNNNNNNNNNNNNNNNNNNNNNNNNNNNNNNNNNNNNNNNNUAUAUAUAUUAAAUCAAAUUCCAUUUCUAACGUAAAACUAAUAGUGUGCACAACUCACAUUUUAAUUUUAUCGAUACUUGUAACACUCUUAGGUAAGUUAAUUGGCCAAUCAAUUUUUCAAAUACGGAAAUUGAAUACUUUGAGAUCAAAGGCAGAAUCAGACCAGGCAUGGCAAAUUCUUUACAUUGAAGAAAAACAGUCUAUUAAGGGAAGAGUGAGUGAUAAAAACUAAAGUUCUUGGACAAAUCAUAGAAAACUACAAUUCUUGAAAUCCAGUUACUAAUUUUACUCAACAAUCUCCUACCUCCAUAUAAUACUGAGUCUAGAUGAUUUGCAAUUUGUUGAUUUGCUCUUAUACCAUGUUUUGGUUUCAGCUCCUGCAGUAGAAAUUGGGUAUGGUGCUGGAGUUGGGGAUUGAGGGAGGGAAAUGAGGGUUGAAGAACAUCAUAUUUGGAAAAUGAAGUUGACUUUCCGCAGCUGAUGGUAUUAUUGUUGAAGGGAAUCCUGAUGAUGCUGCAGCAGAGAAUGGUGGAAUAAGAGGUGCCCCUCCAUAAGGACCUUGGAGUUGCCAUGCCCUAUUUGCUAAGGGAUCUGUUUCCAUCCUAUUCUCUAUUGCUCUUUCCUGUAAAUAGAAAUUAAAAUCACUGAUCAAAAGUCAUAACUAACAAGAAACUAAUGUCUGUUAUUAUGAUGGUAUUAGAAUGUGAAAAUCACCUUGCAGAUGGGAAGGAAAUUUGUACCAUUCCGGAGUGGAGGAUGCUCGGAUGCUAGGGAGAAGCCGUGAGAUGGCUGAGCCAUCAUUGGUCUUGGUCCAGAAUGCUCAAACUAUCAGAAAUCGAAGCCAAGUUAAAACGUAUAAUUGCUGACUUCAUGAACUAGAGGACCAGACAACAUUUCUCCACCUUACCAUAAGUCUACUAUCAAUAGGGAUGUCGUCCCAGCUACGCUGAACUUGUAAACCACUCUCAUUGUUGUGCAUGUUCUUGAUUUGGCCAUCAUAUGAUGGGGGAGCUAUGCCCAAGUUAAGAUCAAGAAUUAGCUCGCUAUCUGCACAAAGUGAUCAGUACCAUGCCUUGUUAAUGCAUAUUGACUUCACAUUUCAGUCACUAACCAUAUCAUAAAGCAAGAAAAAAUAAAAAUAAGAUCAUUAUCAGCCUAAACUAGUAGUACCUUCAUUAUCAGCCUGAGAAAUUACCUCCCCUUCAUAUGAGCUGGCCUCGAAGUUUGUUACUGCUUCCCUUCCAUUACAUUUUAUAGCAGCCAUAUCAUAUGCUCUGAAAUCAUUGCAUAGCAACUCAAUAACACACUGAAUACAAAAGAAAUGGAAUCCAAAAAUUUGAGGUAUUUUGUGUAAGAUAUCCUGAUAUAAGAUUGGGGAAAGUAAAACCUUGCGGCGUCUAAUUCGCUAUCAAAUAGGCCAAGAUAUAUAUACCUGCAAGCAAUCAAUGAACCCAACAACUGAAUUCUAGUUUAUUACAAAAGAAACCAUGCUAUUGAGAACCUAACCAUACAGUACUUUGUUUCAUUUUAUAAAGGGAUAAAAUGUAUUCUUCAGAUGAUUUAAAUGCAAAUAGAAACCAUACAAAAAUUUGAUAGAAAACAAAGGCAAGAUUAGCAAAGCAUGUCAGGUUGAACAAUGAACGCAAUUGAAUUGAUUCAAAGGAUUUGCUUACUUUUUCCCGAGAAACUGUCCCAUGCGUGCUUCCCACCUGCCACAUUUAUGCAGAGUAACUCCCCUGUAUUUGGAGCUUCCCCUUGAAAAACCAGUGCUCUGUCUACGCAGAAUAUGCACAAACUCUUCUUUUGUGAAGUUACCCAUCUGCAUAAUAAUUGAAUUGAGAUUACAAUUAGAACUUGUAUGAAAUAUUUUGAGAAACAAUAUAUCUUCUUUAAACUCUUCUUCAUUAAGUGCCUUUACAUUUUUUUACAUUUAACACAUGCUUUACAAAACUAUAGAAAAAUUCAAGAUUAAUAAUACAACAAGUCUGUUAUAUCUGUUUAAUAACCUGUUUUAUAUCUUCAUCAUAAUCACUGACAUUAAAAUUGAUAUCUGCAUCAACCCCACGAAACUUGAUUGCAGCUCGAUCAUAUGCCCUAAAACAAAUUACAGACCAAAAAUAUAAAUAAGACACAUGGAACAUUUCAUACAAAUAGUUAAAUCAACAAUAUUAUCACAAAACAACACAAAUUACAUGCCAAUAUAAAACCAAAAUAAUAAUAUUAAAAGGAAAGAUCACAUGGAACAUUUUAUAUGCUUAAUUAAAUUUCAAAAUAAAAAAAUAAAAAAACUAAAAUCUCAAAUUACGGAAAAUUAGUAAAUUACCUUGCCGCAGCAUGCGCUGUAUCAAAUCCACCUAUAAAUUCAGAAGAAAAAAACAAUUACAACAACGAUUAAUAAAUAUAUAAAUAGAAUUUCUCUAUGAUAAUAUCAUCAUUUUCAGCGUUGGAUCCUCACCUAAGUACACUUGUUUUCCACAAUCCCUGCAUUAACAACACCAAGAAAUUCAUAAACACAAGCUCGAACCUCAAAAACAGAACGUCAAAAACGACGUAGUUUCAUAAUAUACAAAGAUUAAAAAGAAAACACAACGACGCAGUUUUAUUAAACAAAAGUUGAAAACACAAAAACAAAAACAAACAAAACGACGUAGUUUAUGCCAUACCAAAUAUGCGAUUCCCAUCGUCCCGUUCUUCGAUAAAACGUAACGCCACGAUACUGCGAACUCCGUGACCUCGGUCCACGACGACUCUUCUUCACAACCUGUUUCUGCUGCGUCUGAGAAGUAAUUAUCCUCUGCGACGCAAUAACCGAACACGGCGGUUCCGGCAACUGUUGCACAUCUCCGGCAGGCGGAAAAAGCUGAAUAGUAGGAAUAUGAGAAUGAUUGACGGAGUUGAGAAUGGGGAAGUUGUAGGGAAAAGCGGUGGUGUUAUCGAAGGAAGAAGAAUCAUCGGUAUCGGUAGGGUUGAGAAUGGAAGAAGAGGAAUUGAAGCUAAGAGAAGAUUCAAAAUGAAGAGUGUUGUUGAGGUUGAGAUCCAACAUUGUUAGUUAGUUAGUUUUUGAGAGAAUGAAAGAAUGAAGAAGAAAAGUUGUUAGAAGAAGAAAAGUUGUUAGAAGAAGAAUGAAGAAAUGAAAGAGUAUUGUAAUGUAUGAGUCAUAUAUUUUUGUUGAGUGAAGUUCACAACACACACUCAUAUAUUCAAUUUUUUUUUGUUUCCACGAUUCGGUCCGAGCUGGAAAUACUCACAGACAUGUGGGACUAAAUCCUUCCGGUAAGUAUUUUUCUAUCCGAAACCUUUAGAUGAAUCACACAUGUACCACAUGAACCGAUGUUCGUUAAUCGAUAUAUUCACAUUAACAAUAUAUAACAAACGGAACCUGGAAUGAGUGUGAGAAGAAAAGAGCACCAAAGUGAAUAUUAUGGGAGACCUACUUUUUAUUUUUACUUUCAUUCCUAUAUUUAAUCAUGUAAUUACCACUAGUAAUGUGGAAUAAUGAUAGUUUUACUUUUGAUCAAAUUGUCCUUAUUUUUUAUGGGUGUUUGACUUGAAUAUACUUGUUUCUUUUCUUCUUGGAGUAACUACACAAAUUCACCAUGAGUUUUAUAUUAUAUAAAGACUAUAUGUCUCUUUCUAAGCAACAAGUUAUUUUUAAAGUUGUUUUGAACGAAAUAAUAACAUUUUUAUUUUAUUAUCUAUUAUUUUUGUUUUUUUUUAAAUAUUAACAAUUUUUUGUUGUUCUUAACUAAGAGAAAAUAAGGUUUUAUUAGUUUGACAUUUUCUUUUGAGUGUUUGAUUGUCUUUUCCUACCAUUGGUCCAUUAAAUCAAAAGUUUGAUAUUUUGUACAUUUUGAAGAUGAAGUAAGACAUUACAUCACUAGAUCAUCAUUUUAUUAGUUUAUUUAGUCUAUAUAGUUGUUAACCAUUUAAUUAUACUUAGGAGAUUAAUCUUUCAAAUUUAUUUUGUAGAACUAAAAAAUAAAUCUCAACAUAUAAAUAUAGUGAUAACAUUGGUUGAUCAUAAUUGAACAAGAUUGUGCCUCUAGGUAAUGUCAAGUGUUUAAUAAACUAAUAACUACACUCUUGAAAAAAUUGGUGAAAUGCAAAAGAAAAAAGAAUAAUAAUAAACUUGAAGGGGAUAAUAUAAAAGAGUAGAGUGUAACUAAGUAAAAAUAAACAUGAUUGACCCUUUUACUUUUGUCCUUCAGAUUUGGUAAUAUUUAAUGUUUUUGUUAGAUUUGUCGGAAAAUAUGUAUAUAUUUGUGAUAAAGAGAGGAUUUAGGAGGGGCCUUCCUUUUAGUAUUUGCUAUUUUGCUGACAAAUCUCACUUUCUCAGUCCAUUCGCACCCUUUUGUCCCUACUCAUCAUCCCCCUUUGUCCAUUCUUUCUUUCCCACAAAAAACACAAUAAUGUUACAAGACAUAUAUAUAUAUAUUAAACUAUUCACGUGAAAACAAUGAUGCGCUAUUUGUGAGAUAUAAGCACACUUAAUUUGGAUCAGUAGAUUUUAAUUGAAUGGUUAAAAUUAAAAUAUAUAUGUACAUAGUUAUCAUGUGACCAAUAACUAAUUUUUAAUCUUAAUUAUCCAUAAUGGAUCGUAAAGACAUAGAUUUAUUGUUCUCACAGUUUUUACAUGAGAACUAAGUAGCUAUAUAUAUAUAUAAAACUUUUAAAUCAUGAGACAGUAAUAGAAACAAAUUAGAGAUCAAAAGAGAAAUUUCCUUCUUCAUAACAUUACCUUUGAAUGACAUUUUCAAUUGGUAAAAAUAUGUGGUGAAAAAUUGGUUCAAUUUUAGGCUAAAUGAUAGUUGAAUCAUAAAUAUAAAUACUUAUAGUUCAACUUUGUUUAAUUGGCUUAAAACGAAUUUGUAUGCUUUCUAAACAUAAUAUUUGUGAUUCACAAUAUAAAUAAUAAACCCAUAUUAUACUACAUUGACAAGUUGAUGUACUAGGGAGAGAUAAAAAAAACACACAUUAUGAUUAAGUUGUUGAAGUGGGGUAAGUGAUAAACAAGGGACAAUACCCACAAUUUUCAUGGUUACUAUUUUUUUUUUUGUUUCACAAUGGUAUCCUUGCACUUGAGGCAAUCUUGUUCGAGCCGGGAACAUCCACAGGUAAGUGGGGCUAACUCUCCCAACGGACAUUUUUUCCAUCCACAAGACUCGAACCCGGAUUCUUACUUAAAGGGAAUCAAUCAUGUAUCACUUGAACAUCGCCUAUUGGUGGUUACUACUUUGUUAGUGCUGUUACUAUUUUUGUGAAUGAAUGUGGUCCAGUGAGAAAUCAUAGGUUCUCACCACUUUUCCCUUUAUGGAAGAAAAAUCAAAUUAUAAAAUUUAAACAUACAAAAGCCCAAGUUGGAUUCCACGUAUUGAAGCAAUUCAGCCCAAUUAUAAGAAGAGGAGACCUCACUUUGCAAUUUGUUAUGCCAAAAUUGAAAAGCAACUUCAAUUAGUUGUGAAUCUUGUGAUGAACUAAUUUGUGAGCAGUGACUCAGUUGAUAAAGAAAAAUAUUACAUAAAAUGUAUAGGGACCAAUGAUACAAUCAUUUUGGAGUGAAAGUAGCAGCACUAUUUAUACCAUGCUGUGUGAGAUGUUUGUAAAUUUGUCUUUAUAUAUAUAUGGAGUACUUCAAAUUAUAUUAAAUUCGGUAACAUCAUAGGACAAGUACUUAAUUUUAAUGUACAUUCUAGAGUAGAACCUCAAAAUCUUAUUAGGAGAGUAGUUUAAAAGUUUUUCAAAAUAAUUGGAUCAAUUUGGGCAAAGUGAAAAUUUGAACGAACUAAAAUGUUUUAUGGAAGAAAUCUUUAGAUAUUAUUUAAUAUUUUUUUUUCCGGAGACAAAAUUGACCCAUAAGUAAGAUCUUUAAGGACAAUUUGAAGAUUUUUAUAAUGAAUUCCAAUGAAAUUUUUCAUAUUUACUAAUAGUAUAAUUCUAACUUGAGUCUUUCUUUAAGCAAAAGCAUGCAUGAAUCACUCGUGCUGAAUUUGUGGCAACGAGGGUCCCGAGAUGCUAAGUGAUUAACCAUUGAUGUCUGUUUGAGAAUUCAUGCUCCAAUUUAACGUUCAAGAAGAGGUAAAAACGAAUUUGGCAAGUGUAACAAAUUGUAGUACUAAUAGUGAUGAUAAACCAUGUUGCACAAAUUCACCACUGAAGUUCAAGUGGAUAGAAAGUAGAAUGCAUUAAUCAAAAUUAAUCCAUCCAAAAUAAUAUCCAGGAGACUUCAACUUUAAUUAAAGACAUUGGUCAAAUUCAUUUUGUAUUCUGUAUUCAUCGAUUAUUUCUGAUACUACACAAUCAUAUAGAGGAAAGAAAUUGAUAUAGAUAAAAAACGUACUCCAAACAUAGUAUAUGGAUUGGGUCCAAAAUUAUCUUCACCUUCCUAGAUACAGAACUGAACAAACCCUUCAAACUGGUUUUACAAGACAAAGUAAAGUAUCUCCUAUAAGGAUAUAAAUUAUCUCCUCUGACCACUAAAAUCAUAAUAUGUGUUUGAUUUAAUCAUUUUCUAUAAAAAUAUUUCUAAAACUAAACAAAACAAUACAAAUAUCAACUUUUACUUGCUAGAGGGGAUAACUUAUCUGCUUAAACGAAGGCAAUUUGGAGAUAUAUGAUCUCAUUUGUGAAGGAUUAGUACUUGAUUAGGGCGAAAAGGGACAUAAAUCCAGAUAUUAUUCAUUAUACUAUAUGAAUGUAAUCAAAAUGAAAUAAUCCUAUGAUUUAAAUUUAGACUUCCUUAUAAACAAAAAAAGGAGUACAUUGAUGAGAGCGAAACAGAAAUGAACAAUGCAAACUAAAACUUAAAAAUGCACAAAAACAGCUAAUUCUCAAGCCAAACAUUCCUUGAUAUUCUGCAAGUCUCCAUCGAAAAAUAUAUAUAGUAAUAAUUGCUCUCCAAAGAAACAGCAAAGUAACAGGAUCCAAAACAAAGUACAGGUAAAAACAAAACUUAAACGAUACUAAAGGGUAGAAGAUUUCACUGUGAAACACCCAGCCACUUGGAGAAGUUGUCAAAUUCAGCAUAAUCAGAGUCAGAAACCAUAGUUUGAUACCAUGCUUUUCCUGCAGCCUUGAUAGCAGAAGCCUCCUCCUGAAAAACAACCAAUACCAAAAAGUGAAGUUAACAAAAAUAUGUCAUGCAUCACACUCAUUAAUAUUGAAAUUAUUAAGAUUAAACUAUACAUUUGGUCAUGUACAUUUUAAUGAAUUCCAAUUUUGUCCUCACCACUGAUUGGUGUUAUAGCACAAAUUGACGAAACUAGGGUGUGCUCACCUUGAACUUGAAAUAAUCUAAUUAUUAAAUAAUGUAAUGCCCAAAAGUCCAGCUUAAGAAAUUCAGUGUUUUACACACACAAGACUGGCAAAUAAAACCAAUAAGUUCCUAUGUCUAAAUCACUUUCAAAUGAGUCACUGCUUCCCUUCCAUUACAUUUUAUAGCAGCCAUAUCAUAUGCUCUGAAAUCAUUGCAUAGCAACUCAAUAACACACUGAAUACAAAAGAAAUGGAAUCCAAAAAUUUGAGGUAUUUUGUGUAAGAUAUCCUGAUAUAAGAUUGGGGAAAGUAAAACCUUGCGGCGUCUAAUUCGCUAUCAAAUAGGCCAAGAUAUAUAUACCUGCAAGCAAUCAAUGAACCCAACAACUGAAUUCUAGUUUAUUACAAAAGAAACCAUGCUAUUGAGAACCUAACCAUACAGUACUUUGUUUCAUUUUAUAAAGGGAUAAAAUGUAUUCUUCAGAUGAUUUAAAUGCAAAUAGAAACCAUACAAAAAUUUGAUAGAAAACAAAGGCAAGAUUAGCAAAGCAUGUCAGGUUGAACAAUGAACGCAAUUGAAUUGAUUCAAAGGAUUUGCUUACUUUUUCCCGAGAAACUGUCCCAUGCGUGCUUCCCACCUGCCACAUUUAUGCAGAGUAACUCCCCUGUAUUUGGAGCUUCCCCUUGAAAAACCAGUGCUCUGUCUACGCAGAAUAUGCACAAACUCUUCUUUUGUGAAGUUACCCAUCUGCAUAAUAAUUGAAUUGAGAUUACAAUUAGAACUUGUAUGAAAUAUUUUGAGAAACAAUAUAUCUUCUUUAAACUCUUCUUCAUUAAGUGCCUUUACAUUUUUUUACAUUUAACACAUGCUUUACAAAACUAUAGAAAAAUUCAAGAUUAAUAAUACAACAAGUCUGUUAUAUCUGUUUAAUAACCUGUUUUAUAUCUUCAUCAUAAUCACUGACAUUAAAAUUGAUAUCUGCAUCAACCCCACGAAACUUGAUUGCAGCUCGAUCAUAUGCCCUAAAACAAAUUACAGACCAAAAAUAUAAAUAAGACACAUGGAACAUUUCAUACAAAUAGUUAAAUCAACAAUAUUAUCACAAAACAACACAAAUUACAUGCCAAUAUAAAACCAAAAUAAUAAUAUUAAAAGGAAAGAUCACAUGGAACAUUUUAUAUGCUUAAUUAAAUUUCAAAAUAAAAAAAUAAAAAAACUAAAAUCUCAAAUUACGGAAAAUUAGUAAAUUACCUUGCCGCAGCAUGCGCUGUAUCAAAUCCACCUAUAAAUUCAGAAGAAAAAAACAAUUACAACAACGAUUAAUAAAUAUAUAAAUAGAAUUUCUCUAUGAUAAUAUCAUCAUUUUCAGCGUUGGAUCCUCACCUAAGUACACUUGUUUUCCACAAUCCCUGCAUUAACAACACCAAGAAAUUCAUAAACACAAGCUCGAACCUCAAAAACAGAACGUCAAAAACGACGUAGUUUCAUAAUAUACAAAGAUUAAAAAGAAAACACAACGACGCAGUUUUAUUAAACAAAAGUUGAAAACACAAAAACAAAAACAAACAAAACGACGUAGUUUAUGCCAUACCAAAUAUGCGAUUCCCAUCGUCCCGUUCUUCGAUAAAACGUAACGCCACGAUACUGCGAACUCCGUGACCUCGGUCCACGACGACUCUUCUUCACAACCUGUUUCUGCUGCGUCUGAGAAGUAAUUAUCCUCUGCGACGCAAUAACCGAACACGGCGGUUCCGGCAACUGUUGCACAUCUCCGGCAGGCGGAAAAAGCUGAAUAGUAGGAAUAUGAGAAUGAUUGACGGAGUUGAGAAUGGGGAAGUUGUAGGGAAAAGCGGUGGUGUUAUCGAAGGAAGAAGAAUCAUCGGUAUCGGUAGGGUUGAGAAUGGAAGAAGAGGAAUUGAAGCUAAGAGAAGAUUCAAAAUGAAGAGUGUUGUUGAGGUUGAGAUCCAACAUUGUUAGUUAGUUAGUUUUUGAGAGAAUGAAAGAAUGAAGAAGAAAAGUUGUUAGAAGAAGAAAAGUUGUUAGAAGAAGAAUGAAGAAAUGAAAGAGUAUUGUAAUGUAUGAGUCAUAUAUUUUUGUUGAGUGAAGUUCACAACACACACUCAUAUAUUCAAUUUUUUUUUGUUUCCACGAUUCGGUCCGAGCUGGAAAUACUCACAGACAUGUGGGACUAAAUCCUUCCGGUAAGUAUUUUUCUAUCCGAAACCUUUAGAUGAAUCACACAUGUACCACAUGAACCGAUGUUCGUUAAUCGAUAUAUUCACAUUAACAAUAUAUAACAAACGGAACCUGGAAUGAGUGUGAGAAGAAAAGAGCACCAAAGUGAAUAUUAUGGGAGACCUACUUUUUAUUUUUACUUUCAUUCCUAUAUUUAAUCAUGUAAUUACCACUAGUAAUGUGGAAUAAUGAUAGUUUUACUUUUGAUCAAAUUGUCCUUAUUUUUUAUGGGUGUUUGACUUGAAUAUACUUGUUUCUUUUCUUCUUGGAGUAACUACACAAAUUCACCAUGAGUUUUAUAUUAUAUAAAGACUAUAUGUCUCUUUCUAAGCAACAAGUUAUUUUUAAAGUUGUUUUGAACGAAAUAAUAACAUUUUUAUUUUAUUAUCUAUUAUUUUUGUUUUUUUUUAAAUAUUAACAAUUUUUUGUUGUUCUUAACUAAGAGAAAAUAAGGUUUUAUUAGUUUGACAUUUUCUUUUGAGUGUUUGAUUGUCUUUUCCUACCAUUGGUCCAUUAAAUCAAAAGUUUGAUAUUUUGUACAUUUUGAAGAUGAAGUAAGACAUUACAUCACUAGAUCAUCAUUUUAUUAGUUUAUUUAGUCUAUAUAGUUGUUAACCAUUUAAUUAUACUUAGGAGAUUAAUCUUUCAAAUUUAUUUUGUAGAACUAAAAAAUAAAUCUCAACAUAUAAAUAUAGUGAUAACAUUGGUUGAUCAUAAUUGAACAAGAUUGUGCCUCUAGGUAAUGUCAAGUGUUUAAUAAACUAAUAACUACACUCUUGAAAAAAUUGGUGAAAUGCAAAAGAAAAAAGAAUAAUAAUAAACUUGAAGGGGAUAAUAUAAAAGAGUAGAGUGUAACUAAGUAAAAAUAAACAUGAUUGACCCUUUUACUUUUGUCCUUCAGAUUUGGUAAUAUUUAAUGUUUUUGUUAGAUUUGUCGGAAAAUAUGUAUAUAUUUGUGAUAAAGAGAGGAUUUAGGAGGGGCCUUCCUUUUAGUAUUUGCUAUUUUGCUGACAAAUCUCACUUUCUCAGUCCAUUCGCACCCUUUUGUCCCUACUCAUCAUCCCCCUUUGUCCAUUCUUUCUUUCCCACAAAAAACACAAUAAUGUUACAAGACAUAUAUAUAUAUAUUAAACUAUUCACGUGAAAACAAUGAUGCGCUAUUUGUGAGAUAUAAGCACACUUAAUUUGGAUCAGUAGAUUUUAAUUGAAUGGUUAAAAUUAAAAUAUAUAUGUACAUAGUUAUCAUGUGACCAAUAACUAAUUUUUAAUCUUAAUUAUCCAUAAUGGAUCGUAAAGACAUAGAUUUAUUGUUCUCACAGUUUUUACAUGAGAACUAAGUAGCUAUAUAUAUAUAUAAAACUUUUAAAUCAUGAGACAGUAAUAGAAACAAAUUAGAGAUCAAAAGAGAAAUUUCCUUCUUCAUAACAUUACCUUUGAAUGACAUUUUCAAUUGGUAAAAAUAUGUGGUGAAAAAUUGGUUCAAUUUUAGGCUAAAUGAUAGUUGAAUCAUAAAUAUAAAUACUUAUAGUUCAACUUUGUUUAAUUGGCUUAAAACGAAUUUGUAUGCUUUCUAAACAUAAUAUUUGUGAUUCACAAUAUAAAUAAUAAACCCAUAUUAUACUACAUUGACAAGUUGAUGUACUAGGGAGAGAUAAAAAAAACACACAUUAUGAUUAAGUUGUUGAAGUGGGGUAAGUGAUAAACAAGGGACAAUACCCACAAUUUUCAUGGUUACUAUUUUUUUUUUUGUUUCACAAUGGUAUCCUUGCACUUGAGGCAAUCUUGUUCGAGCCGGGAACAUCCACAGGUAAGUGGGGCUAACUCUCCCAACGGACAUUUUUUCCAUCCACAAGACUCGAACCCGGAUUCUUACUUAAAGGGAAUCAAUCAUGUAUCACUUGAACAUCGCCUAUUGGUGGUUACUACUUUGUUAGUGCUGUUACUAUUUUUGUGAAUGAAUGUGGUCCAGUGAGAAAUCAUAGGUUCUCACCACUUUUCCCUUUAUGGAAGAAAAAUCAAAUUAUAAAAUUUAAACAUACAAAAGCCCAAGUUGGAUUCCACGUAUUGAAGCAAUUCAGCCCAAUUAUAAGAAGAGGAGACCUCACUUUGCAAUUUGUUAUGCCAAAAUUGAAAAGCAACUUCAAUUAGUUGUGAAUCUUGUGAUGAACUAAUUUGUGAGCAGUGACUCAGUUGAUAAAGAAAAAUAUUACAUAAAAUGUAUAGGGACCAAUGAUACAAUCAUUUUGGAGUGAAAGUAGCAGCACUAUUUAUACCAUGCUGUGUGAGAUGUUUGUAAAUUUGUCUUUAUAUAUAUAUGGAGUACUUCAAAUUAUAUUAAAUUCGGUAACAUCAUAGGACAAGUACUUAAUUUUAAUGUACAUUCUAGAGUAGAACCUCAAAAUCUUAUUAGGAGAGUAGUUUAAAAGUUUUUCAAAAUAAUUGGAUCAAUUUGGGCAAAGUGAAAAUUUGAACGAACUAAAAUGUUUUAUGGAAGAAAUCUUUAGAUAUUAUUUAAUAUUUUUUUUUCCGGAGACAAAAUUGACCCAUAAGUAAGAUCUUUAAGGACAAUUUGAAGAUUUUUAUAAUGAAUUCCAAUGAAAUUUUUCAUAUUUACUAAUAGUAUAAUUCUAACUUGAGUCUUUCUUUAAGCAAAAGCAUGCAUGAAUCACUCGUGCUGAAUUUGUGGCAACGAGGGUCCCGAGAUGCUAAGUGAUUAACCAUUGAUGUCUGUUUGAGAAUUCAUGCUCCAAUUUAACGUUCAAGAAGAGGUAAAAACGAAUUUGGCAAGUGUAACAAAUUGUAGUACUAAUAGUGAUGAUAAACCAUGUUGCACAAAUUCACCACUGAAGUUCAAGUGGAUAGAAAGUAGAAUGCAUUAAUCAAAAUUAAUCCAUCCAAAAUAAUAUCCAGGAGACUUCAACUUUAAUUAAAGACAUUGGUCAAAUUCAUUUUGUAUUCUGUAUUCAUCGAUUAUUUCUGAUACUACACAAUCAUAUAGAGGAAAGAAAUUGAUAUAGAUAAAAAACGUACUCCAAACAUAGUAUAUGGAUUGGGUCCAAAAUUAUCUUCACCUUCCUAGAUACAGAACUGAACAAACCCUUCAAACUGGUUUUACAAGACAAAGUAAAGUAUCUCCUAUAAGGAUAUAAAUUAUCUCCUCUGACCACUAAAAUCAUAAUAUGUGUUUGAUUUAAUCAUUUUCUAUAAAAAUAUUUCUAAAACUAAACAAAACAAUACAAAUAUCAACUUUUACUUGCUAGAGGGGAUAACUUAUCUGCUUAAACGAAGGCAAUUUGGAGAUAUAUGAUCUCAUUUGUGAAGGAUUAGUACUUGAUUAGGGCGAAAAGGGACAUAAAUCCAGAUAUUAUUCAUUAUACUAUAUGAAUGUAAUCAAAAUGAAAUAAUCCUAUGAUUUAAAUUUAGACUUCCUUAUAAACAAAAAAAGGAGUACAUUGAUGAGAGCGAAACAGAAAUGAACAAUGCAAACUAAAACUUAAAAAUGCACAAAAACAGCUAAUUCUCAAGCCAAACAUUCCUUGAUAUUCUGCAAGUCUCCAUCGAAAAAUAUAUAUAGUAAUAAUUGCUCUCCAAAGAAACAGCAAAGUAACAGGAUCCAAAACAAAGUACAGGUAAAAACAAAACUUAAACGAUACUAAAGGGUAGAAGAUUUCACUGUGAAACACCCAGCCACUUGGAGAAGUUGUCAAAUUCAGCAUAAUCAGAGUCAGAAACCAUAGUUUGAUACCAUGCUUUUCCUGCAGCCUUGAUAGCAGAAGCCUCCUCCUGAAAAACAACCAAUACCAAAAAGUGAAGUUAACAAAAAUAUGUCAUGCAUCACACUCAUUAAUAUUGAAAUUAUUAAGAUUAAACUAUACAUUUGGUCAUGUACAUUUUAAUGAAUUCCAAUUUUGUCCUCACCACUGAUUGGUGUUAUAGCACAAAUUGACGAAACUAGGGUGUGCUCACCUUGAACUUGAAAUAAUCUAAUUAUUAAAUAAUGUAAUGCCCAAAAGUCCAGCUUAAGAAAUUCAGUGUUUUACACACACAAGACUGGCAAAUAAAACUAAUAGGGUCCUAUGUCUAAAUCACUUUCAAAUUAGUCAUCAUACAUAACAAUGAUAAAUUAAAUGUAGUAAAUGAAUUCAAAACUUAACAACAACAAUGAAUAUAUCAAUUGAACAUGGAGUGCGACAUCGAAUUUGAUCCUAUAUGAUAAUCAUCUCCAAUUUAGUUCUCAAACAUAACAACAAUAAACAGCAGAUACCAAGUUAGUUAUAAACAAAUAUUAACAACCACAAUUUCAAAUUCAA